rfam:Loxodonta africana unplaced genomic scaffold scaffold_147, whole genome shotgun sequence.
GCAGCUGUGGUUCUGUGGUAGAAUUCUUGCCUUCCAUGCAGGAGACCUGGGUUUGAUUCCCGGUCAAUGCA